GACCUGAUGGUGCAGCGGCUAGCACACCUACUGAAAAUCAACCAUUCGGCGAUCACAUUAAGUAGGAGACUCCUGUUCCAUUUGGGAUCGGGUUA